AUUCAGCUAGUCUGGCAGCAUCUAUGCCGGGAGAUUAACAGCCGACGUUUCGGGUCGAGACCCUUCAUCGGGAUUGGAAGGGAAGAGCACAGAAUCCAGAAUAAGACCAUCGGAGGAGCGGGAGGAGCACACGCAGAGCACCAGAAUCUGAUACCUGUCCCCAAAAUGGCUGAAGGAGCGGGCAGGCGAGACGUUCCAGCGAGCUCAACAGGAAAGGACGGGGGUCCGGACGCAGAGAUUACUAAGCUCCUGGCAGAUUGGAACGAUUUGAAGCUGCUGCAAUUGACGGACUUCUACCGGGACAGGUUGCAACAGGCGAUGGAAGGAGGGGUGCACGGAGUCAGCUCGGCGUUAACGUAC